rnacentral:rRNA from 1 species
UACGGAGGGUGCAAGCGUUAUCCGGAUUUACUGGGUUUAAAGGGUGUGUCGGCGGGCUUUUAAGUCAGUGGUGAAAUCUCCGGGCUCAACCCGGAAACUGCCAUUGAUACUAUUAGUCUUGAAUUUUGUUGAGGUAGGCGGAAUAAGUCAUGUAGCGGUGAAAUGCUUAGAUAUGACUUAGAACACCAAUUGCGAAGGCAGCUUGCUAAACAAACAUUGACGCUGAGGCACGAAAGCGUGGGGAUCAAACAGG